rnacentral:rRNA from 1 species
CGCUAUGAAAGUAGCGAGUCUCACUUUGUGAGAACCACGUGACAGGUACUGCAUGGCUGUCGUCAGUUCGUGUCGUAAGAUGUUGGGUUAAGUCCCGUAACGAACGCAACCCCUGUCUUUAGUUGCCAGCAUUAAGUUGGGGACUCUAGAGAGACUGCCAAGGUGACAACUUGGAGGAAGGUGGGGAUGACGUCAAGUCCAUAUGGUCCUUACAUCCAGGGCGAGAAACGUGCUACAAUGGUUGGUACAAUGGGGAGCAAAAUCGCAAGAUCGAGCAAAUCCUCAAAACUAAUCUCAGUUCGGAUUGGAGUCUGCAACCCGACUCCAUGAAGUUGGAAUCGCUAGUAAUCGCGGAUCAGCAUGCCGCGGUGAAUACGUAUCCGGGUCUUGUACACACCGCCCGUCAAGUCAA